UAUCCCUAGGAACAGACUAAUGAGUGGCUGGCUGGUCAUGGGAAGGGUGCAGGCACAAGUGUAAGGAUGCCAUUUGGAAGCAACCACACACUCACUAUGAAGUACUAAGGACAAAAGAAACUUGACAGAGGGGCUGCCGAGGGAUAAAUGGACUAAAUAGAUGUCAGAUCCAGACUACCUCAGAGGACCUGUAUCAGGGCCUACAAAUGAGAACUACUGAAUUCUGGCUAUCGAGUUAUCAAUAAGGCCAUAUCAUAGAUUGCACAAAAGUAUUGCAGGAAAAAAAAAGGGUGCAGAACCUAUUUUGAGUCCUGAAAUCUGAAAGUACCAAAAGGACAGGAUAGAAGGCAGAGGAAAAGCCUUUUAACUUCAAUUGUUGAUGCAGAAGCAUGUUGAAAAGUAUGGUUAGAUCACCACUGAGUAAAUGGAAGACUUCACCUGUAGCCAGCAAGGUUCAUGAGGCCUGUGACUUCUGCGUCACCAGUAGGAAAGGUAAGCAAUGGAGACCCAUUCCCUACCUUCUGUCAAAAACAUCCUUUUGAAUCUGAAGGAGAGACCUAGGCCAGGUGUAUGAAAUGAUCAAUACACAGUUCCUAUUUCCUAUUUGCCUAGAAAUAUACACCAGCCAGCAUCACCAAUG